rnacentral:rRNA from 1 species
AUGAACGCUGGCGGCGUGCCUAAUACAUGCCAGUCGCGCGAACAGAUAAGGAGCUUGCUCCUUUGACGUUAGCGGCGGACGGGUGAGUAACACGUGGGUAACCUACCUAUAAGACUGGGAUAACUUCGGGAAACCGGAGCUAAUACCGGAUAACAUUUGGAACCGCAUGGUUCUAAAGUGAAAGAUGGUUUUGCUAUCACUUAUAGAUGGACCCGCGCCGUAUUAGCUAGUUGGUAAGGUAACGGCUUACCAAGGCGACGAUACGUAGCCGACCUGAGAGGGUGAUCGGCCACACUGGAACUGAGACACGGUCCAGACUCCUACGGGAGGCAGCAGUAGGGAAUCUUCCGCAAUGGGCGAAAGCCUGACGGAGCAACGCCGCGUGAGUGAUGAAGGGUUUCGGCUCGUAAAACUCUGUUAUUAGGGAAGAACAAACGUGUAAGUAACUGUGCACGUCUUGACGGUACCUAAUCAGAAAGCCACGGCUAACUACGUG